GGGGGGGGGGGGGACUCUUGUUGCUGAAUAACCCAAGUGAAACUACAUUGGAAAAUAUGGAUUGUUUUUUGUAAUUCUCUUCCUGAACAUGCAUCUUUAUAUCUUUGGUAUUUUACAGUGGAUACAUUUUUAUAUUCUGCUUUCUCAACUGUAGAAAUGUUUCAGGCUGUUUCAAAACAAGUGUUAUUUUUGUACUAUUACAGUUCCUUAUUUCUUGUCUUCAAGGGGAUUUAAAUAUGCAUUUGUCACUCUCUAAAGAAACUGCAACUGCUCUUUUCCGAGAGCUUGUACUAGAGCUCCCCCUAUGCCGAAUAGCACUUCAUAAUUCCAGUUAUCCUUUCAGGAGAUCCAGCUGAUACAUGGCUGAAGCUACAUCCUCCCUCUGGUCUCAUCCCCAGUCUCCAACCAGCCUGCAGCAAGGUGUUUGUUCCUGUUUGUCCAUUUGCUUGGAAAAGCCCUCAGGACCUCACUGUGUGAACAUCAGGGGAUCAUUGUUCACACUGAGCCUCAGCCAGUUAACUUGGGCCUUUUUGUCUAGCUGCUUAUUAAAUUCUCUUAACGUAAACUGUUAGUGUUUGUGUCUGCUGUUUUUUUCCUUCUUCAUACAUCCAUUAUUUUAUCUUGUCUACACACCCUUCCUGUACCAUACCACUUAAAUGUCACUUUUGUUUUGUCUUCCUUCUUCCUCAAGUGUCAGCCUCCCUGUGCCUCCUCCCUGUUAGAUUAGAUUUCUUCUUGUUACAUCCUGAUGCAGUGAUGCUUUUGAUUCUUCAUUGCUCACCUUCAUUCUGAGCUUUGUGAGGUUUUUUUUCUUAGCAUUGCCCUGCACUCAGUUCACGUCCUUCUUCCUGACUGCAUAUUACACUGAAAAUGGAACAAGGUAUUUUUAACUUUCUUUUCUCCUAUUAUGCAUUGGGGAAAGGGAAGGUUCUCUAAGCAAAAAGAAUCUGCAUCUGAAGUAGGUGCUGUAACACACUGCUUACCUCCUUACUCUUUCCAGAAUCCCUCAAUACUAUUUCUUUAAUGCUGUUGCAUGCCACAAUAUGUGACAAGUUUCAAAAUAUAUUUCAGUUUUUGUGAAAUGAUAGGCAUUUAUUGGUUUGGCUAUGUAGAGCUAAAUCUGUAUCCUUUGGACAUAAUGACAAGUUUUAUAUAAAAAAAAAAAAAAAUCUCAAUUUAAAACAGAGUUUGAUUUUUAUAUGCCCUUCUACCCAAAAGGCUCAGUGGUUUACAAUAAAGAAAUAAUCUACAGAGGGUCUGAAUACUGCAAAACCUGAGCAUGCCAACUUCUACCCCACAGCUGUAUCCCUGCCCAAACUGCACACAAGCAAACCAUCCUGCCAAUGCCAGCCUCCCAACCCCUACUUGCAUCCAAGAUACAAAAAAAAGUUUUUUCUAUUUUCACCCACACUCUCCCUCCUUUUAAUCCUAGGGAAGAUUUGCCCACCCUCCUCCAAUAUCCCUCCCCCUCCCAAAUGCACCUAACUCCUCCUUCCCCUAGCAAGUAGUGUUGUUUUGAAGUGUAGUAUUCUAACAGAAAAGUAAAAGAAAGAACCACUUUCUCCACCUCUGUCACUGCUGAAGGGCAAGGCUAAAGGACACCCUUAAGCCCAGGGAGGCCUGCCACUUCGUAGAGCCUGCAGAACGGUCAGGUCCUUCCCCCUUCUUCAGGUGGCUGUGAUGAUGAUGCUGGUGUAUCCUGCACUGAAAUCUUUUAAGGACUGUAGAUGAGCUAACUAAUAAACACUACUUUGAACAGUGA